CCUACGGGUGGCAGCAGUCGAGAAUCAUUCACAAUGGGGGAAACCCUGAUGGUGCGACGCCGCGUGGGGGAAUGAAGGUCUUCGGUUUGUAAACCCCUGUCAUGUGGGAGCAAAUUAAAAAGAUAGUACCGCAAAAGGAAGAGACGGCUAACUCUGUGCCAGCAGCCGCGGAAAUACAGAGGUCUCAAGCGUUGUUCGGACUCACUGGGCGUAAAGCGUGUGUAGGCUGUUUCGUAAGUCGUGUGUGAAAGGCGCGGGCUCAACCCGCGGACGGCACAUGAUACUGCGAGACUAGAGUAAUGGAGGGGGAACCGGAAUUCCCGGUGUAGCAGUGAAAUGCGUAGAUAUCGAGAGGAACACUCGUGGCGAAGGCGGGUUCCUGGACAUUAACUGACGCUGAGGCACGAAGGCCAGGGGAGCGAAAGGGAUUAGAUACCCGAGUAGUC
rnacentral:rRNA from 1 species